CAGCCGCCGCGGUAAUACGUAGGUGGCAAGCGUUGUCCGGAAUUAUUGGGCGUAAAGGGCUCGCAGGCGGUUUCUUAAGUCUGAUGGGAAAGCCCCCGGCUCAACCGGGGAGGGUCAUUGGAAACUGGGAAACUUGAGUGCAGAAGAGGAGAGUGGAAUUCCACGUGUAGCGGUGAAAUGCGUAGAGAUGUGGAGGAACACCAGUGGCGAAGGCGACUCUCUGGUCUGUAACUGACGCUGAGGAGCGAAAGCGUGGGGAGCGAACAGGAUUAGAUACCCCCGUAGUCCCUGUCUCUUAUAC
rnacentral:rRNA from 1 species